rnacentral:rRNA from 1 species
AGUGAACGCUGGCGGUAGACCUAACACAUGCAAGUCGAACGGCAGCACAGUAAGAGCUUGCUCUUACGGGUGGCGAGUGGCGGACGGGUGAGGAAUACAUCGGAAUCUACUUUUUCGUGGGGGAUAACGUAGGGAAACUUACGCUAAUACCGCAUACGACCUACGGGUGAAAGCAGGGGAUCUUCGGACCUUGCGCGAUUGAAUGAGCCGAUGUCGGAUUAGCUAGUUGGCGGGGUAAAGGCCCACCCAGGCGACGAUCCGUAGCUGGUCUGAGAGGAUGAUCAGCCACACUGGAACUGAGACACGGUCCAGACUCCUACGGGAGGCAGCAGUGGGGAAUAUUGGACAAUGGGCGCAAGCCUGAUCCAGCCAUACCGCGUGGGUGAAGAAGGCCUUCGGGUUGUAAAGCCCUUUUGUUGGGAAAGAAAAGCAGCAGGUUAAUACCCCGCUGUUCUGACGGUACCCAAAGAAUAAGCACCGGCUAACUUCGUG